UACGGAGGGUGCAAGCGUUAUCCGGAUUCACUGGGUUUAAAGGGUGCGUAGGCGGGCAGGUAAGUCAGUGGUGAAAUCUCCGGGCUUAACCCGGAAACUGCCGUUGAUACUAUCUGUCUUGAAUAUCGUGGAGGUAAGCGGAAUAUGUCAUGUAGCGGUGAAAUGCUUAGAUAUGACAUAGAACUCCGAUUGCGAAGGCAGCUUACUACACGAUCAUUGACGCUGAGGCACGAAAGCGUGGGGAGCAAACAGG
rnacentral:rRNA from 1 species